UGUUGUAACCUUGUAACUUCAGUGUGCUAAGCUGAGGUGCUGUAAUAUACCUAUGUGUAAUGUGUAUAAGUGUAACAUUCGCGCACGGUUCGAUUCUCCGCAUAAUUGCUUUGGAAAUUUGUAAGGGAAAUUUAAAUUUAUUUCUAUUCCCCUGAGAUUCCCAAUAUGUACAUAACCAAACUUUUCCAAGCAAGCGUUGCACUACUACUAAAGUGAACAGAUAUAGCAAAUUUAAAUUUCGUCCUUAUUUGAAUAAUUAAACAUACAAUUAUUGUAAACUUUGUGAGUAACAGCUUCAUCAUGUAUACCAGAGCACUGGCAACUGCGCUUUCUACAAGUGUUGAUGUAAUGAUGAGAAUCAUGUACUUGCUUGGGCAAAAGUUCCUGCAACUACGACUUUUUGUUGAACCGACAUGUACCUAUCCUUCAACAACACCGGAGGACAUCUACCCACCAUGUCGUUUGAUGGUGACUGCUGUUGGAUAAAUAUGAUGCACUGGAAUGACGAAAACAGUGUCCUACGUAUUGCGCCGAAUUGUAGAAGUGUAAUUUUUAUGCCAUCUCCAUUGUAUUAAUUCCGAUUUGAGUGGUAAAUGCAGCAACUCGUGUAAUACUUUACAGAGAAACGUCGAUGGUAUCGAUACAACAAUAUCUAUUUGUAUUGGAUAUAUCACACAGUGCCAUAUUAUUGAGGGUCUGCACGCCCCAUUAUUAAAUAAUCUACAACGAGAACAUCUACAUUAAACAAAUCACAAAACUUUAUUGCCAAAGUGGUGGCUACUUUAGGGCAGUAUUUCUUCAAAGCCGUACUGGCAAGCCCUGUAAUCCCAGUAAUUUUCUUGUUUGUUAACUGUAGCUAGUACCUAUAUAUACCCACUAAAAAAAAAUUGUACUUAUACUUUUGUAUCUAAAUAGUGCUUGUUGUCUGCUUCAUGAAUACAUUGAUUAAUUUGUUCUAGAUCUAAAAUUUUCGAUUUUUUUGGCUCAGCCAUGUGAAAAUUUCUUUACUUGCGUUACUAUAAUAAUCAUAAUAUAGAGAAUAUAGUACCUAUGUUAUCGUUCAAUAGCAGUUUUUUAUGU